rnacentral:rRNA from 1 species
GAGUUUGAUCAUGGCUCAGGACGAACGCUGGCGGCAUGCCUAAUACAUGCAAGUCGUGCGAAUUGACGAAGUACUUGUACUUCUGACGUUAGCGGCGAACGGGUGAGUAACACGUAAGGAAUCUACCUAUAAGCGGGGGAUAACAUUCGGAAACGGAUGCUAAUACCGCAUAAUACAUAUUUCCGCAUGGAAAUACGUUGAAAGACGGCUCUGCUGUCACUUAUAGAUGACCUUGCGGUGCAUUAGUUAGUUGGUGGGGUAAUGGCCUACCAAGACGAUGAUGCAUAGCCGACCUGAGAGGGUGAUCGGCCACAUUGGGACUGAGACACGGCCCAAACUCCUACGGGAGGCAGCAGUAGGGAAUCUUCCGCAAUGGGCGAAAGCCUGACGGAGCAAUGCCGCGUGAGUGAAGAAGGCCUUCGGGUCGUAAAACUCUGUUAUAAGAGAAGAACAAAUUGUAGAGUAACUGCUACAGUCUUGACGGUAUCUUAUCAGAAAGCCACGGCUAACUACGUGCCAGCAGCCGC